rnacentral:lncRNA from 1 species
AGCUAGUAUAGGAACUUAAUUAAUCAAAGCUAGCAGUUAUAGCUAGGACUUGAACGAGGCACCUUUCAAAGUUCAAGAAGAGCAUCUGAAGAGAAUGAAAGCACUUUGUAGAAAUGAUAAUGAUGCUUUACAUCUACAUGCUCUUACACAAUAUGAACUUUCAUUUAUUCAAGAACAUAACACUACUCCAAGCUCUUAUUCUACGAGUCAAUCCAGUUUGUAGAUGCACGCCAUUGUAAAAGCUUUUGUAUUAUAAUUUCU